CCAACAAAACCAACGAACCCUGCAGCUGCGAACCGCCUCGGUUAACACUAGAGACGAGUAGAGCAAAAAUGUCAACGGGUUUGGGUUUUUUUUUUUUGGCACAUUCCCCGAUGCUUCUCUUCACCCCCGCCGCCUCUAUCGCCCUACCCUAGCUAGCCGCGCAAGGAUUUCUCCCAUGUCUUCAAACCCCUGAGGGUGGUAUAGCAACCGAUCGAGAGGGAGGGGGACGCGCUGGCCGGAGUAGCAGAAGGCUGUUGAUCGCCGGAGGGUGGCCGCGGGGGUGGGGAGCUAGGGUUGGUGGGAUCAUGAAGGUCGGUCGAUCGGAUCGAUCAAUCCCCCGGUGGCCGUGGUGUUUUUUGAAUCAGAUCUUUCAACCAGCACAGCUUCAAGCAGGUCGGCAGGUCACCAAGAAAAUUAUAUGCUCCUGCCGAUGCUUCCUUCAGCUCUGCUCUUUCAGACAUGAGUUCCACCUUCAGUAGUUACUUGCAAGGUAGAAAAAUGGAUCUCCAUGGAAAAGGAAAAACAGGGGCAACCACAUGAGAGACACUUUGCAGGAGCCUUACUACCUGCUAUGAAGAGGCUGCUGAAUGAAGGGCGACGAGGGAGGCGUAGGCGCCAUCCUUGAUGUUCAUCAA